ACGGCCACAUAAUGUUGAAAUACCGGUUCCCGUACGAUCAGCGAAUUUAAAGAACGUCGAGUGUGGUCAGUAACAAGAUGUGUGACCACUUGGGAAUACCAGGUGUUGUAAG